UACAGAGGUCUCAAGCGUUGUUCGGAUUCAUUGGGCGUAAAGGGUGCGUAGGUGGCGCGCUAAGUCAGGUGUGAAAUUUCGGAGCUUAACUCCGAAACUGCAUUUGAUACUGGCGUGCUUGAGGACUGGAGAGGAGACUGGAAUUCAUGGUGUAGCAGUGAAAUGCGUAGAGAUCAUGAGGAAGACCAGUGGCGAAGGCGGGUCUCUGGACAGUUCCGUGACAGCUGAGGCACGAAGGCCAGGGGAGCAAACGGG
rnacentral:rRNA from 1 species